rnacentral:rRNA from 1 species
CCAAUAGCGUAUAUUAAAGUUGUUGCAGUUAAAAAGCUCGUAGUUGAAUUUCGGGAUCAAGGGAUCGGUCAUGCCUUGGUAUGUACUGGUAUUAUUGGUUUCUACCUUCUGAAGAACCUUGAUGUCAUUAAUUUGGUGUCUUGGGGAAUCAGGACUGUUACUUUGAAAAAAUUAGAGUGUUUAAAGCAAGCAUACGCUUGAAUACAUUAGCAUGGAAUAAUGAAAUAGGACGUUUGAUUCUAUUUUGUUGGUUUCUAGGAUCGACGUAAUGAUUAAUAGGGAUAGUUGGGGGCAUUAGUAUUCAAUUGUCAGAGGUGAAAUUCUUGGAUUUAUUGAAGACUAACUACUGCGAAAGCACUUGCCAAGGAUGUUUUCAUUAAUCAAGAACGAAAGUUAGGGGAUCGAAGACGAUCAGAUACCGUCGUAGUCUUAACCAUAAACUAUGCCGACUAGGGAUCGGAUGAUGUUAAUUUUUUAAUGACUCAUUCGGCGCCUUACG